ensembl:lncRNA
GUUGAUCAGAUCUGGGUUAAACAAAGGUAAGUGAGGUCUUUACUGUAGGACUUUUUUGAGCCUUUUCAAUGCUAAUGCUCCCUUUAAAACCAGAAAAGAAGAGAUUCAGUAACUAUAGGUCCAUUUUCACAGGAUAUAUAGUGUACCAAGGAGUAUAUUUUUGAAAACUGGCUUUUGAGAAAGAAAAUAUGUUUGAGACACUUACUGGGUAUGUGACCUUGAACAGCUUCUUCAUCUUGCUUCAUCCUUUAUUUGCACAAUGCUAAUAAUACAUUCUAACUCAGAGGGUUGCUGUGAGUAUGUGCUUACUUAGAAGCAAUUAAGACUUGGUCCAUGCCAUAAGUGAGUCCAUCCCUGACUGUUAAUCAAGAUGUGAAGUAUACAAAGAUGUGCAAUUCUAACAGAAAAGUCACAAAGCCUGCUGAUAGACAGCAGGUUUUAAAGUCUCUCUUUUCACCUUCAUUCUUUCUGACUUACUCAGAGAUAUGCAGUUACUUGAGCAGGUUUGCAUUUGUACAGCGUUGUUUCCUUGAGCUGUCUGCAUUGUUCUUACCUACAUUGGUAGCCUACUCAAUACUGGUCUAAUUAUUCCUUGUCUGGUUUAUGCCAUUGAAUUUUAUUUAUUUAUUUUUUUUUAAAUUUUAUUUUAUUUUUAAACUUUACAAUAUUGUAUUAAUUUUGCCAAACAUCAAAAUGAAUCUGCCACAGGUAUACCCGCGCUCCCCAUCCUGAACCCUCCUCACUCCUCCCCCAACCCCCACCCUCCCUCUGGGUCGUCCCAGUGCACCAGCCCCAAGCAUCCAGUACCGUGCAUCGAACCUGGACUGGCGACUCGUUUCAUACAUGAUAUUAUACAGGUUUCAAUGCUAUUCUCCUAAAUCUCCCCACCCUUUCCCUCUCCCUCUCCCACAGAGUCCAUAAGACUGAUCUAUACAUCAGUGUCUCUUUUGCUGUCUCGUACACAGGGUUAUUGUUACCAUCUUUCUAAAUUUUAAUGUGUGAAUGGUAGAUAAUGCAGGAACAGCUGUUGACAAAGGAAGGACGCACAUCUUGGCAGACCCAUACUCUCAGUUACUGACAGACAGGGGUCCUGUGUUUUGAAAUUUGGCUCACUGCAGUUUUGUGUUUGGCCAAUGAAUGGGAGCCGGGGGAUAGAACAUUAAGUCAAGGAGGAUUAUUUCUGAGUCUUAAGAUCUGACGGUAUUUGACUUGCUAGGUUUUGGACUUCCUUCCUUCUCUCCUUUUUUCUCUCCCUUAUCUCUUCUUUCUCUCUUUUUUGGAAAGGUGAUGUCCAUCUUACACCUGUCCCACCAUCAUAUUUUAGAAUGGGACAACUCAUCUGGUUUCACAGUUCACAACCAGAAAGGAAAUUUGCCUCAGAAUGAAUUGCACUCAAGUCUCACCCAUGUCUUAUUAGAUGAUAUUUAGAUGAGAUUUUGGACUUUGGACUUUAGAGGUGAUGCUAGAAUGACUUUGGGGGAAGUUGAGAUGGAAUGAAUGUGUUUUGUAUGUGAGAAGGUCAUGAAUUUUGGAGGGUAGAAUGCAAUAAACUGAAUAUUCAUGCUUCCUCAAAAUUCAUACAUUGAAGCUCUAGUCCCAAACACAAUGGCAAUUGUAGAUGACAUCUUGAGGAGGCAAUGAGGAUUAGAUGAAGUCAUGAGGGUAAGCCCUCAUCAUGGGAUUAGUGUCAUUCUAUGGUUUUUCCAGUAGUCAUGUAUAGAUGUGAGAGUUGGACCAUAAACAAGUCUGAGCACUGAAGAACUGAUGCUUUUAAACUGUGGUGUUGGAGAAGACUCUUGAGAGUCCCUUGGACUGCAAGGAGAUCAAACCAGUCAAUCCUGAAGGAAAUCAAUCCUCAAUAUUCAUUGGAGAGAGUGAUGCUGAAGUGGAAGUUCCAAUAUUUUGGCCACCUGAUGCAACAAGCCAACUCAUUGGAAAAGACUUUGAUGCUGGGAAAGACUGAAGGCAAGAGGAAAAGGGAAUGACAGAAGAGGAGAUGGUUGGAUAAGAUCACUGACUCAAUGAGUCAAUGACAUUUCUGUUAGAAUUGCACAUCUCCAGGAGAUGGCAAAGGACAGGGAAGCCUGGGCAUCUUGCCAUCCAUGGGUGCCAAAGAGUUGAACAUGACUGAAUGACUGAACAACAGUAAGAGGAGACACCCGGGAGCUCCCCCUCUCUUUCUCUUCACCAUGUGAGAGCGCAGUGAGUGCUGUCACCUGCCAGCUGGGAAGCGAGCUCUCCCCAGAACCCCACCAUGCUGGUGUCCUGAUCUCAGACUUCCAGCCUCCAAGACUGUGAGACACUCUAUGUUAUUUUGUUGUAGUGGCUCCAGCUGACACCUACCUUAG